rnacentral:ribozyme from 1 species
ACAGGUGUAAGGCCAUAGCAGAAAUGCUCAUGGCACGACCUGUCAGAUUCCAAUGAAUCUGUGAAUUCUGCU